GGAUGUGGCUCAGUGGUAGCGUGCUCGCCUGGCAUGUGUGAGGCAUUGGGUUCGAUCCUCAGCACCA
rnacentral:tRNA from 1 species